rnacentral:lncRNA from 1 species
AAAGUCGCCGGAAAGUGACUAUAGGUAUAUGCUUUAGCAAAAGUCGGGUUUGUAUGUUUUGGUCAGUCGAGAGCCUUUAAUUCAAAUCAGGCGUGGCAAAGAAAGAAACAACGUAACAUGUAACUUUCCGGUAACGAGAAAAAAUAGGGAACCAACAAAAGAUAUUAUUAAUGAGAAGAAGGGAUCAUGAAAGCUAAGUAACCUGAAGAAACAUGAGCCACUUGGAGAACUUCUCUUUGGAGCUCCAUCAACUUUUCAAACCCUCCAACAAGUCACCCUUCUUUUUGGGUACUUUUAAACAUGGAUACAUGUCUAUCGAAAUGGUAGCUAGUUUAAAACUACUCGUGAUGAGUAAUUUAAUGUGACAGACCAGAGAUGUCUUGAAGUGGUUCUUGACAGGACAAGAACACAAU